rnacentral:rRNA from 1 species
AUGGUGAGGAUGGAGGCGGCGGGUGCUGCUCUUGCGGUGGCCCUGUUGGCUUGUAUGGUGGGGGCUGGAGCUGAUGGCUCUGAUCACAGGUACAAGGAGGGAGAUCGUGUCCCGCUCUACGCGAACAAGGUCGGCCCUUUCCACAAUCCAAGUGAGACAUACCGGUACUAUGAUCUACCCUUUUGUGCACCAGAACACCCAAAGGACAAAAGGGAGGCUCUUGGGGAGGUUCUAAAUGGUGAUCGAUUGGUUGAUGCACCAUAUGAGUUGAACUUUAAGGAAGAUACGAACUCCAAGACUCUCUGCAAGAAAACAUUGUCCAAGGAGCAAGUCGCCAAGCUCCGGGAUGCAGUUGCCAAGGAUUACUACUUCCAGGUGUAUUAUGAUGACCUGCCUUUAUGGGGAUUCCUUGGUAAACUGGACAGGAACAAGGAGCACGGCGGUGGAAAGUGCCUUCUGUUUAAGCACAUCCACUUUGACAUCAUGUACAACAAUGACCGUGUCAUAGAAAUCAAUGUUCAGACAGAUCCGAAUGUCGCUGUGGAUAUCACAGAGGACAAGGAAGUGCCGGUAGAGUUCUCUUAUUCAGUAACAUGGAAAAAGACAGACAUUCCUUUUGAGAAAAGAAUGGAGAAGUACUCCAAGUCUUCCUCUAUGCCGCAGCACCUAGAGAUCCAUUGGUUUUCGAUAAUUAACUCAUGUGUAACAGUGCUUCUUUUGACUGGCUUUCUGGCAACAAUCCUCAUGCGUGUGCUCAAGAAUGAUUUCAUCAAAUAUUCCCAUGAAGACGAGUCCCUUGAAGACCAAGAAGAGACUGGAUGGAAGUAUAUACAUGGCGACGUCUUCCGUUUCCCGCAGCAAAAAUCUCUUUUUGCAGCAAUCAUUGGAUCUGGAUCUCAGCUUCUUGCCCUUGCAAUUUUCAUCUUCCUCCUCGCGAUUGUUGGGGUCUUCUAUCCAUACAACAGGGGAGCCCUUUUCACUGCCCUUGUAGUCAUCUAUGCUCUUACGUCUGGUAUUGCUGGCUACACAGCCACUUCCUUCUAUCUUCAGCUGGAGGGAACAAACUGGGUGAGAAAUCUGAUAUUGACUGGCUGCUUGUUCUGUGGGCCACUUUUCUUGACAUUCUCCUUCUUAAACACUGUUGCGAUAGCGUACAGUGCUACAGCAGCUUUGCCUUUUGGUACUAUCAUUGUCAUUAUUCUCAUCUGGGCACUUGUAACCUCUCCUCUCCUAGUGCUGGGUGGUAUAGCUGGGAAAAAUAGCAAUACUGAAUUCCAAGCUCCUUGCCGCACAACCAAAUAUCCAAGGGAAAUCCCUCAGAUGCCCUGGUACCGAAGCACUAUUCCUCAGAUGGCAAUGGCAGGGUUUCUCCCUUUCAGUGCUAUUUACAUCGAGCUGUACUACAUAUUUGCCAGUAUCUGGGGGCAUAAGAUAUACACCAUCUACAGCAUCCUCUUCAUUGUGUUCAUUAUCCUAAUCAUCGUCACAGCGUUUGUCACAGUGGCGCUCACGUACUUCCAGCUUGCUGUUGAGGAUCACAAGUGGUGGUGGAGAUCUGUCCUUUGCGGAGGCUCCACUGGUAUUUUCAUCUUCUUCUACUGCAUCUACUACUACCAUGCCCGGUCAGACAUGUCAGGCUUCAUGCAAACAUCCUUCUUCUUCGGCUACAUGACCUGUGUCUGCUACGGUUUUUUCCUCAUGCUGGGAACUGUUGGUUUCCGUGCAUCGCUGCUAUUUGUGCGACAUAUUUACCGUUCCAUCAAGUGCGAGUAA